AAUUUGACCAGUUAUUAUUAUUAUUAUUAUGUAUUACGUAGUAUACGCCCGGGCGCACGUGAUGGGUGUGCAAAUCAUGUUAUCCAAAAGAGUAAAAGGGUAGAUCUUCAAUUGAGAUUGAACCUGUCGCAUAAAUUGUGCAAUGAUCUAAAAAUCGCUAGGGCUAGUCGGGCGGAAAAGGGGCUCUUGGGCCAAGUGCCGACUAGUUGGCCGCCUAGCGCCUAGGCAGGGACUAGGCGCCCGACUAGUUGGCUGCCUAAUCUAGGCGUUGGACGAGCGCCUAGGCGGGGCCGACUUUUAGAACACUGAAAUUGUGUUAUGCAACACAACACAACACUAACAUAACUCAUCUAGUCCCCAAUCAUUUUGGGUAAGGGUGGGGAGGAUUGGAGAUAGACCUAAUCUCUGGCGCACAAAGUGGUUGCUAGCACAAAUUGUGUUAUGCAAAGGAGGAAAAGUGGAAUAUCUUCAAUUGGGAUUAAACCCUUAAUGAAAUGUAAGAUGUGAAAGUAGAGAAGAGAGGAAGAAAAUUAGGUUUUUUCUUUUUUCCGUCUUGAUAGUUUCUUUAGGCGGUUAAAGUGUAGUUUGGGAAACUAAAAUGUGAGCCAGCCUCCAAAGUGACUCUUGCACCAAAAGGGGUGUUGCCUUUAUAAUUGACUAGACGCCCAGGCACACUGCCACACGCAAUGAGUUGUGCAUGUGCGGAUCGCAUUAUGCAAAAGAGGGAAAGGGGAAAAUUUUCAGUUAAGGUGACAGUUAAUUUUCUCUUUCUUUUUGGCAGUUUUUAUAGGCAGUUAAGGGGUAGUUACGAAAACAAAAUUUGAGCCUGACUCAAACCUGAUGUUCACACGAAAAAGAUGUUCCCUUUAUAAGAGUUAUAGAUAAAUGAUAAUAGAUGUAUGUAACUGUGGGUAUGAAGAUAUCUAUAUGUAUCUACAUCGUUGCAGUCGUUAUUUUACUCGCCUGUUUUGUUGUGAACUUGAGGGGUCAAUAUGUGUGUAUUGUGUUGAGGAAAUUUGAGUUGCAUGUGAAUUUGGUCCUGGUUUGUAGUAUUGCAUUCAGUUCAUAAUACUUGGCUUUGCAAUCUUUGGUACUUGAGAUAGUUUGGGGGAAAGGAAAGCUCAUAACUUUGGAUUGGCUUGUAUUUGUACAAUUCUGCUGUUGUUUGCUUGUUCCAUAAGGUAGACGACAAAGUGAAUUGGAUUUUGCCUAGUUUUCCCUCUUCUCCAUCCAUGCAGGGAAAAAACCAUUUAGGAGGCCAAUCCCGCAUCCACCCCGCAGUUUAGCCCUUAUGCACCAUGGCAUUGGAAGCAGGGAGGUUAUGUGCACAAAGGCUAAAGCAAAGGGGGCUAAACCUCUGCUUAUUUAUAACAAUCGUCAAUAUGUUGUCAUCUGCUUAAUCUUUUUUUUCUUGCUUAUUAGGAAAAGAGUAGAAAAAUAAAAAGAAGACUGAAGUUGCAGUAGUAAACUUUUAGAGACAGAGCCUCAGUUGAAAGCUAUUUUGCUCAGUCUGUGACCGAUUUUAGCAAAUGAUCUGUGAAUAUGCAUCAAUAGCAUUUAAAAUAAUGUUUUGUACAGAAAUGAAUCACUAAUCCGUAUGACAUAGCUUAAAUUUCUGUAUUCUUGGAGAAAGUUUGGAGCUUCAGCAGAAGUAUUAGAUUUUCUAAUAGAGGUUGAAUUGAGUUUGCAAUCUGGAGUAACCUAAGGACAAUAGAAAUUUAGCAAGGUACUGGACCCCAAACAUAAAAAGUUCUAAACUGGGUUUUAAUGGGAAAUGUUUGAGAUGGAACGAAACCCGUAUGAACAAAUAAUUCUUGAGUCUUUAAAAUUUGGUUAAAUGUUGUGGGAGUUUGACAUUGGUUCUGCCUAAAACAUGGAUCAAGUUGGUACAUAGAUAAGAGAGUGGAAUGGCUUUUAAUCCUAGUCGGGGCGUGGAGUGCCAGCAUGGCAAGAAAUGAGUCCAAAUACCUCUUCAAUGCUUCUGAUGUGCGAGUUGUUUGGAAUCCUUUAUACACAUGAUGUCAAGGUUUUGUGCAAAGAGGUUGGCAGGAAUUUUAUACAUAGUAGUUUAGCAGAAAUACAUUUCCGAUACUGGUGCUAUUCCUGCUUGCUCAAGAGAACCUUCCGAGGCAAUCAGAGUUUUCCCAACUCCCGUUAGACCAUCAUUCUUCGCUCCAUCGUAACAGGUCUAACGGCAUGUAGCUGGUUAUUAUAUGCCUGAAGUUAUGGAUUCGCCAUAUAAUUUCUUCUUUGUGCCAGAAGGCCCAGAACUGUUAUAUUAUUCAUGUUGCUAUUGUGCUAAGGGGGCGUAUUCUCGGUAUAUUGUUAUGUUUUUGUUUUUGCUAAGGUCUUAAGUGGGGUGAUAUUUUUUGUAGCUAAUGUGUCAUUUUAAAUGUCU